rnacentral:rRNA from 1 species
UACGGGGGGAGCAAGCGUUGUUCGGAUUUACUGGGCGUAAAGGGCGCGUAGGCGGCCUCUGCAAGUCGACUGUGAAAUCUCCGGGCUUAACCCGGAAAGGUCAGCCGAUACUGCAGGGCUAGAGUGCAGAAGGGGCAACUGGAAUUCUCGGUGUAGCGGUGAAAUGCGUAGAUAUCGAGAGGAACACCUGCGGCGAAGGCGGGUUGCUGGGCUGACACGUGACGCUGAAGCGCGAAAGCUAGGGGAGCGAACGGG